GUAUUAUGCAUCAAAAUUCAUCUAUUUCAUGGUUGUUUUACACUGGGGUAUGUGAAGAAAGACAUGGAAGAACAAGGAAAGCCCACGAAAAAAAAAACAUCAAGCAGUCCUAAUGAUCCAAGGGAAACCCCCCUCAGACAAUGAGAUCCAUGCGAGCGAGUGCACAAGUAGAUGGAGAAAUGAAGAAGGACGGAGCGUGCACGGCCAGAAGGCCAGCGACAGCUCUGUCAUAGGCAUUUCGAUAAUGAUCCUUCCGCAGGUUCACCUACGGAAA
rnacentral:misc_RNA from 1 species